AGCCCAGAGCCUGAAUCAGUGUGUGUGUUAGUGGAAGCGUCUGGAAAGGCGCGCGAUACAGGGUGACAGCCCCGUACACAAAAAUGCACAUGCUGUGAGCUCGAUGAGUAGGGCGGGACACGUGGUAUCCUGUCUGAAUAUGGGGGGACCAUCCUCCAAGGCUAAAUACUCCUGACUGACCGAUAGUGAACCAGUACCGUGAGGGAAAGGCGAAAAGAACCCCGGCGAGGGGAGUGAAAAAGAACCUGAAACCGUGUACGUACAAGCAGUGGGAGCACGCUUAGGCGUGUGACUGCGUACCUUUUGUAUAAUGGGUCAGCGACUUAUAUUCUGUAGCAAGGUUAACCGAAUAGGGGAGCCGAAGGGAAACCGAGUCUUAACUGGGCGUUAAGUUGCAGGGUAUAGACCCGAAACCCGGUGAUCUAGCCAUGGGCAGGUUGAAGGUUGGGUAACACUAACUGGAGGACCGAACCGACUAAUGUUGAAAAAUUAGCGGAUGACUUGUGGCUGGGGGUGAAAGGCCAAUCAAACCGGGAGAUAGCUGGUUCUCCCCGAAAGCUAUUUAGGUAGCGCCUCGUGAAUUCAUCUCCGGGGGUAGAGCACUGUUUCGGCAAGGGGGUCAUCCCGACUUACCAACCCGAUGCAAACUGCGAAUACCGGAGAAUGUUAUCACGGGAGACACACGGCGGGUGCUAACGUCCGUCGUGAAGAGGGAAACAACCCAGACCGCCAGCUAAGGUCCCAAAGUCAUGGUUAAGUGGGAAACGAUGUGGGAAGGCCCAGACAGCCAGGAUGUUGGCUUAGAAGCAGCCAUCAUUUAAAGAAAGCGUAAUAGCUCACUGGUCGAGUCGGCCUGCGCGGAAGAUGUAACGGGGCUAAACCAUGCACCGAAGCUGCGGCAGCGACGCUGAUGCGUUGUUGGGUAGGGGAGCGUUCUGUAAGCCUG
rnacentral:rRNA from 1 species